AGAAGCAGUCCUGACAGAGCUGGUAAUUGUGACACUGCUGGCAGCGGUAGCGAAACCCCAUCAUGCUCUCGCUGUGGCAGUAGGAACACUCGACGGGGUGGAAGACUGUGAGGGAGAAAGAAAUGUGUGAUGUGUGGCAAGAGCCAGAGGAAUUCUUUCUCCACGGGAGAAGUGGACAACCAGCCACAAUUAUGGAAUCUUCUGAAGUGCUAUGUAUUAGCUGAAGCUCAUUGCUGUACUCAGUGUACCUAUGGAGUCUCUUGAGCUGCAGAAAAAUCUUGUAUUUUCUUCAGGAUAAAUUCAUGGCUUUCCUGACCCUAUUUCACUGGUGUUAUUGAGACCAACUUCCUGUUGAAGGCAACAAGGCAACAAACCUACACACCAGAAGUCAGUGGAGUGGACCUUCCCCUCAUCCAGUCUCGUGUUUCCUGGGCAAAUAUGCACCUAUGUGUAAGACAGGAAGAAUCUUGGCCUGCUCAGAGGGGUGAUUGAGACCCUGUGUCUCUUCAUUUACCUGUUGUGAGAAACAGGAUUUUGCCGACUGCUCAGUGUAACCGAAUGAAGGCCCCUCGAAGACAGCGGUGGGCAGCUUGAGAACCUCGCGCAGAAACAUGUCAUACCUGCCAUAAACCAUCACCCCGCUGGAGUCAGAAAUCAUGGAGAAAAUAUCUGAGGGGGGAAAAGAGAAGGAAAGAUCACAGCAGCUUCAGUGCUGUCAUGUCAGCUGCUUCUUUUCCAGGAACUUGGAAGGGAAAUUCUGACAACAGGACUCUGGGACUGCUGACCCAAAAAAUCAUCACUGUACUUCAGCCCUCCACUGGAUGGAUCCAGUUCCUAUUCUUACAGCAGCUUAGGGAAGAAAUGGUGUUCAAUUCAUAAUUUAUAAGUUUAGUUCAGUCUGUAUUUGAGUUUCUACAUAGAGAUAAUACAUUAGAAAAUGGCACCAGAUCUGGAAGACUGAAUCAGCACCUGGGAUUUCUACUUGUCUACUCUAAACAACU